rnacentral:rRNA from 1 species
GACGAACGCUGGCGGCGUGCUUAACACAUGCAAGUCGAACGGAAAGGCCUCUUUCGGGGGGUACUCGAGUGGCGAACGGGUGUGUAACACGUGAGUAACCUGCCCUUGACUUUGGGAUAACUUCAGGAAACUGGGGCUAAUACCGGAUAGGAGCUCCUGCUGCAUGGUGUGGGUUGGAAAGUUUCGGCGGUUGGGGAUGGACUCGCGGCUUAUCAGCUUGUUGGUGGGGUAGUGGCUUACCAAGGCUUUGACGGGUAGCCGGCCUGAGAGGGUGACCGGCCACAUUGGGACUGAGAUACGGCCCAGACUCCUACGGGAGGCAGCAGUGGGGAAUAUUGCACAAUGGGUGGAAGCCUGAUGCAGCAACGCCGUGUGCGGGAUGACGGCCUUCGGGUUGUAAACCGCUUUCGCUCAUGACGAAGCUUUGUGUGACGGUAGUGGGUAAAGAAGCACCGGCUAACUACGUG